rnacentral:rRNA from 1 species
AGCGAACGCUGGCGGCAGGCUUAACACAUGCAAGUCGAGCGGACCUUUCGGGGUCAGCGGCGGACGGGUGUGUAACGCGUGGGAACGUGCCUUCCGGUUCGGAAUAACCCUGGGAAACUAGGGCUAAUACCGGAUACGCCCUUAUGGGGAAAGGUUUACUGCCGGAAGAUCGGCCCGCGUCUGAUUAGCUUGUUGGUGGGGUAACGGCCUACCAAGGCGACGAUCAGUAGCUGGUCUGAGAGGAUGAUCAGCGACACUGGGACUGAGACACGGCCCAGACUCCUACGGGAGGCAGGAGUGGGGAAUAUUGGAAAAUGGGCGCAAGCCUGAACCAGCCAUGCCGGGUGAGUGAUGAAGGCCUUAGGGUUGUAAAGCUCUUUUAUCCGGGACGAUAAUGACGGUACCGGAGGAAUAAGCCCCGGCUAACUUCGUG